rnacentral:rRNA from 1 species
CAGCCGCCGCGGUAAUACGAAGGGGGCUAGCGUUGCUCGGAAUGACUGGGCGUAAAGGGCGCGUAGGCGGCGAUCAAAGUCAGGCGUGAAAUUCCUGGGCUCAACCUGGGGGCUGCGCUUGAUACUUGGUUGCUUGAGUGGGGAAGAGGGUCGUGGAAUUCCCAGUGUAGAGGUGAAAUUCGUAGAUAUUGGGAAGAACACCGGUGGCGAAGGCGGCGACCUGGUCCUUGACUGACGCUGAGGCGCGAAAGCGUGGGGAGCAAACAGGAUUAGAUACCCGUGUAGUCCCUGUCUCUUAUAU